UACGUAGGGUGCGAGCGUUGUCCGGAAUUAUUGGGCGUAAAGGGCUCGUAGGCGGUCUGUCACGUCGGGAGUGAAAACUCAGGGCUUAACCCUGAGCCUGCUUCCGAUACGGGCAGACUAGAGGUAUGCAGGGGAGAACGGAAUUCCUGGUGUAGCGGUGAAAUGCGCAGAUAUCAGGAGGAACACCGGUGGCGAAGGCGGGUCUCUGGGCCGAUAUCGACGCUGAGGAGCGAAAGCGUGGGGAGCAAACAGG
rnacentral:rRNA from 1 species